UUUUUUAUAAAUAUCUAACUUCCAAAAUUACAUUUUUUUUUCUCUUGAAAAACAUCCAUUAUAUAGAAGAAUCUAUUUAGUUGAUUAUAUUUAAAGAAAAAAUUAAUUAUAAUUUUUUGAAUCUACACUUAAUUACUAUGUUUUACUAAAUUUGUAUUACAAAAUAAUUAAGUAUAAUCUUAAGUAGAUAAGAUAGUCAUUUGUAGUUAUUAUUAAUGAGAAAUUUAAUUGUCUUCUUCAAUAAAGAGAUUUAUUUUAAGCGAAAAAAACAAUUUUUCAAAGGUAUGCAUUGGUAUAUUGUGUACAUAAUUGAGUUCGGGAAGGAGUGUAGGUUAUAUAUAUAUAUAUAUGUAGAACAUAAUUUGUAUGGUAUAGUAAUGAAAACACUAUUAAUGUAUAAAAACGAAAUUAAAAUAUUAAUGUAUAAAAAUGAAACUGUAAUUUUUUUAAUUAACUGAACAAUAUUUUAAAAAAAUAAAAUUCAAUACACACAUAAAUAUACACAAAAACACUUUUAUUUUCCUUGGUAGCCAAAAAGUUUGUAUUUUAGUAGUUCAAGGAGUUUGGGAAAUAGAAAAAAGUUACUUAUGUUUUGGAGGGAAAAGUAUGAUGGAAUAAAUGCAAAAAUUGAAAUAAGGAUAUUAUAGUCUUUUUGCCUUUCUGGCCAAAUUCUGGCCAAUUUUUUCUGGCCAUUUAGCAUUACCC
rnacentral:lncRNA from 1 species